ACCGCUUUGUGUUCCGCCAUCUAACGGCGCCGCCAUCACUGCGGUGGCAAGUCGUAGUGACUCUACUGUCUGCUAACUGAUUAACUAGUGACUU